GCCUGUUUAACUCAAUUGGUAGAGUAUCGGUUUUGUAAACCGAUUGUUAUCGGUUCAAGUCCGAUAAUAGGCU
rnacentral:tRNA from 1 species